rnacentral:rRNA from 1 species
AGCACCAAUAGUGUAUAUUAAAGUUGUUGCGGUUAAACAGCUCGUAGUUGGAUUUCUGCUGAGGACGACCGGUCCGCGCUCUGGGUGAGUAUCUGGCUUGGCCUUGGCAUCCUCUUGGAGAACGUAGCUGCACUUGACUGUGUGGUGCGGUAUCCAGGACUUUUACUUUGAGGAAAUUAGAGUGUUUCAAGCAGGCACACGCCUUGACUACACUAGCAUGGAAUAAUAAGAUAUGACCUUGGUUCUAUUUUGUUGGUUUCUAGAGCUGAGGAAUUGAUUAAUAGGGAUAGUUUGGGGCAUUCGUAUUUAAUUGUCAGAGGUGAAAAAUCUUGGGAUUGUUAAAGACGGACUACUGCAAAAGCAUUUGCUAAGGAUGUUUUCA